CUGGGCAUAACUGGGAAAGGGGGUGGUCGAGGGGAAGUGGCGCCCCUCGCCCGCUCGCCCUGUCCCCAGCCACCGUUUCGGGACGCUUCCUGCGAGCAGCGCUCCUCACGCCGCGGCCGCGACCUGUUUCCCCCCGCGGCGACCGCCGCCUUCCGCGCACGGGCGCGCGCUGUCCCCACAGCCCUCUCCGCAGAGCGCCCGCAGCCAGCACGGCCCGGCUCGGCACAGACCGGCACGCCCCGGGCGCGGUCCCAACCGCUUCCGCCUCCCCCUGAGAAGUGGCGGGAGGCGGCGGCCGCUUCCCGCCCGCGCCCCGCCUGAGGGGGAGGGGUGCCCCCGCGGCCCUGUUCCCCGCUGCUUCCCCCCCCCCCGGCGAGGCUGAGGGGAUGCGGCGGGACAGCGGCCCCUGUCCCGGCAGCGCUCUGUCGGGAGAGCUCUUAGGUGGCUUUGUGAGUCGCCGCUGCCUGGGGUCAGUGCCGGGCGGUGGCGGGGCGCUGAGGCGGCGGCGGGCCGGGAGCGCCAAGUAGGGGGAGAGUGAAUCUGGGGUUGCGGUGGUUACCGUUAUAAUCUCUGGUGAUAGCAGCAGCACGGCCGCGGGAGCUCCUUUAAAUACAUUUAGUAUUCAGAUCUGUCGCAUUGAUGUCAUAUGAAUUACAGCUUUACAUCAGGCCAUUGAUCAUCUUUGUUGUGUUCUCAUCAAGAAGUAUGAUGCUCGAAACAAGACACAGCUGAGUGCCUGCCAACUGUGCUCUGGUGCAAGUUGAGAAACGCACUCCACAUUUGGGGCUGAGACUCCACACAAACCCCAGGAAGAAGCCUACGCACUGGAUUCCAAGGGACUGGAUGAAGCAAAUUGCACCAUUUCCCAUCGCUAAAGAGCACCCAGCUGUAAUCGGCCCCCCCACUGCACCUCCAACCCACUUCUAGGAGAUUCCCUAUUUUGAUUGGAUUCGUUGAUUACUUGCCAGGGCAUUGCAGGAAUUAGACUGUGAAGAACGGUGAUUUAUUUGAGGAAGGCAAGCACCACACCCAGACGUUCCCUCCUACACCUCGGAGCCAUACCA